rnacentral:tRNA from 2 species
UAAAAAGAUAAGCUAAAUAAGCUCUAGGGUUCAUACCCCGAUUAUAUAGGUAUAAAUCCUAUUCUUUUUAU